CCUGGGCUCCGCAUCCGAGCUGCGACUCGAGGCCUCGGUGCCCCAGGCUCCCAGAGCCUUGGGGUCAGGCUGGCAGAGAAGGCCCGUGUAGGGCAGAACGCUGGGCAGACGGAGGUCCGGGCUGUGCCACUGAACAGGGGAGAGGCGUGGUGUCGGCGGGCGUCCCUUUCCUCACGUGCAAGAGAAGUUUCCUAUUCUAACAUCCUCCCCCACUGCCACCAUUUUACAGAACUCCCAAGACCACCUUCUGCCCCCCCCCCCAACCGCCCCCGUUCCUCUACCUCCACAUAUUCACCCACUUGUGCGUCCUCCCUGCAGGGCUGCUAGCCCUCGGGGGACAGAGGUCUUGUCUGGCUCGCUCUCCGUUGCAUCCCCGGAGCCUGGCAGGACGUGGACACGUAUGAUAAUGGUUUGCAUGAGCUGAAUGUUUCCUAAAAGGCAGACACAGCUAAGGUUUCUAUGUUAUUUUAUUCAUAUUGUAAACAUUAACUCUGUGCAGACAUUGAGGCUGGGUGAGCAUAACGGAUGGUCCAAGGUCAUAGACCUGGUGAGUGGGAAAUUCGGCAUUUGCACCCAGGCAGACUGGCUCUAGAGCCCUUAAUCCCUAUGCCCGGGGGAAUGAAUAGCCAACCCUCGCUGUCGGGCCUGGUUUAAGCUCCCCAGCCCGAUGGGCAGUCUUUGGCAGGAGGCUUCCUUGGCCUGGCUUGUCGGGGCCAGGCAGUUCCACUGAGCCGUCCUAGUGAGCUGGGGUGGUGAUGGGGAAAAACCGUUGCUGGGAUUUGAGGAGGUCAGUCCUGAAAUGUCAGAAAGGAUUUCAGCUCUUCUGCCACCCCGAGGAUGGUGGCGCAUACAUCACAGCGAGCUGGCUCACGUCAGGUCAUCCGUGGCAUUCGAUGCUGGCAUGUUGCUUCCUCUUCUCUCCAGCCCCCGGCGCCCCAUCUUUCUCUCAGUUCUAGUCCGAGCGCUGUGCAGAUUCUCUCCAGCCCGUGCAGUGUCUGUGAGCUGCUCUAGAAGGAUGUGACUCCGAGGAGGCUCUGGGAGCCGUGUAUCCUAGCAACCGCCGAGGCUGGCAUCAGCAGGGCUAGGCCCAGACUCAAGGUGUGUUCUAAUUUUUCAGCCUUCUAUUAAUGGUGCAUCUCCCACAGGGA
rnacentral:lncRNA from 1 species